rnacentral:lncRNA from 1 species
UAAAAAGUGAUGUCAGAUUUUAUGUGUUUUUACGUAGAGGAAAGAGUGCAAUAUUUUUAUAAGUUUUUAUAUUAUUUGUACACAGCAUGUCGCGAGGAAAGCAUAUCGUCGAUUUGGCAUUAAUGUCAAUAAAACAAAUUUAUAAUAACAAAGCAUUUUGCAGUUCGGCGAGGGUUUCAAAUGUGAGUGGGAACUCUAUCCCAAAUUGAAAUUGAAAAUUAUACUGAAGAUAUUGGGAGGCCUUUAGAAGAUACACACGCUCCUGAUUAUCCCUCAACUCAGGAAGAUACCCUUACGGAGACACUUAGCUCAUCAGAAGAUGAGAUUAACUAUUUUUGAUCAAAAAGUAAUGGUAGUAAUGCAGAUUUUUUACGCUCCUCAGAUGAAUAUAAGCCAAGCACAGACAGUGAUAGUUCUUAUGAGACAGAUAGUUCAGAUGAUAAUCUCCCACUCACUACACUAGUUCAAAAUAAAAAGCGAAUCAAAAAUAAAAAACAGCAGAGUUCACAUUCGUCAGAUGAUGACGUCCUGGGGGAAACUGUAGGUGUUAACGUUGAAGAAACAGGUGAAAAUGUUGAAGUUAUCAGUCCUGAAAUAGAGGACGACCGUUCUAAGAAGAAAUCGAGAAGAAGGAGCAGAAAUCCCGAAAAAUGGAAAAGAAAGGCUGCUGCCAUAGCCAGAUGUAAAGGCGAAAAAUAUAUGGGCCAAAAAGGUUAUAAAAUUUGCGCAAAAAGCGUAAGAAGAGAAAACCUAUGCAAAUGCCAAAGCAAAUGCAGUGUAAUAUUUAAAAAAUUCUACGGCAUGGAUAUAAAUACUAAAAAUGCUUUCCUAUUUAGAAGUAUCAUACCACACACUAUAAAACGCAAAAAAAUAAAUACAACUAAAAGCAGAAUGCGCUCCUUUAAAUAUUUUAUCACAAUAGAUGGAAAGCAGAUAUUUAUUUGCAAAGUUGUUUUUUGUCAACUUUUUCAAAUAGGAAGAAAAAAAAUAGAACUUCUGCAAAAACAACUGAAACUUGGAAAAACACUUCCAAGUCCUGAUAUGCAAGGAAAACAUAGCAUCAGACCCCAUAAAAUUACUGAUGAAGUUCGCUAAUAUAUUAUAGAUCAUAUAAAAAAAUUUCCUUCCGAUGAAUCGCAUUAUUCAAGAAACAAAAAUCCUAAUAGAAGAUACCUGUCUCCAAUACUUACAUUAAAAAAGAUGUUUUCUCUAUAUACUGCCAGUUGUGCUGAUAAAGACACGUGUUGUUAAGUUGUGUGACCAAGACUCAUCAUGUUAAAGAAAGUACGUAUAGAAAAAUAUUUCUUACAUAAUUUAAUUUUUUUAAAGGUUUUGGGAACCCAAAAAGUGACACAUGUUCGAAAUGUGAUUCUGGCGAAGGUGACGAAAUACAUAAAAUGUUUUAUAAAGCAGGGUUUGAGGCUCAAAAAAAAGAUAAGAGCAACACAUUUUUAAAUAGCAACAUGUGCUAGAUGACCAUAGAUAUUCUGCAAACUAUGCCUCUUCCGAAGUUAACGACUUCAAAGGCAUUUUAUUUAAGGCAGCUCUGGUUUUAUAACUCUGGAGUACACGCGAUAAUUUCCAGAGAAGAAAGACCAUUUAUGUUAACAUGGACAGAAAAUAUUGCAAGCACGGGAAGCAGUGAAAUUACAAGCUGUCUCUACUAUUUGAUUGAGGUAUCUUCCGAUUUUUUGCACGGUAUUGACCACCUCAAUAUUUGGUCAGAUUCAUGCAGUGGCCAAAAUAAAAAUUUUAACAUUAUCUGUUUCUAUCAAUACUUAAUAUUAAAAAAUAAAUUUAGUGUUAUUGAACACAAAUUUCCUGAAGUAGGUCAUUCGUACCUAGAUCCAGACCGAGACUUUGGUAGAAUUGACAAAAAAAUUAGAAAGCAUGAAACUAUAUUUACUCCAGAGCAAUAUCGCAAUAUUAUAAAAGAAGCAAGCGUAAAAAAUGCUGCCGUAUUUGAUAUGCAGCAUCAAUUUGGAAAUACUAAAGAACUUUCUAACAUGCUUCAGUUGAUUAAUAGAAAAAAAACACAGACAAUGAAAAGAUACAUUUCAGGGAUGACAUUAAAUGGAUUAAAAUCGAAAGGUUUGGUUUUUAUAUGUACAAAACCUCUUAUAAUCCAGAUGAACUAUUUAAGAAGGUAAAUAUUUUAAAACGCAAUUUCACGCCAUCAAUUCCAAAAUUACCCAUCAUGUAAGAAAAAACAGGCAACAUAUCUAAAGAAAAGUUGGACAACCUCAUAACUCAGCUGCCAUAUAUUCCAGAAAGUUAUAGAUGGUUCUAUGAACAGUUUAUUACAGUGGAAAAUCCUGAAGAUAAUAAGAAUAAGAAAAGAAGAACUACUUGAGCACUACCUAACUACUUACUAACUACUACUGUUUUUUAUUCUUGGAUUUGUAGUUACAUAUUAAUUUGUAAGCAGUUAUUAUCUUAAUAAAAACUCACUGUUUUUUGAA